GGCAGGCUUAACACAUGCAAGUCGAGCGGUUUUGAUCUCUUCGGGGAUUGAGAUAGCGGCGGACGGGUGAGUAAAGCUUAGGAAUCUGCCUAUUAGUGGGGGACAACAUUCCGAAAGGAAUGCUAAUACCGCAUACGUCCUACGGGAGAAAGCAGGGGACCUUCGGGCCUUGCGCUAAUAGAUGAGCCUAAGUCGGAUUAGCUAGUUGGUGGGGUAAAGGCCUACCAAGGCGACGAUCUGUAGCGGGUCUGAGAGGAUGAUCCGCCACACUGGGACUGAGACACGGCCCAGACUCCUACGGGAGGCAGCAGUGGGGAAUAUUGGACAAUGGGGGGAACCCUGAUCCAGCCAUGCCGCGUGUGUGAAGAAGGCCUUAUGGUUGUAAAGCACUUUAAGCGAGGAGGAGGCUACUGGUACUAAUACUACUGGAUAGUGGACGUUACUCGCAGAAUAAGCACCGGCUAACUCUGUGCCAGCAGCCGCGGUAAUACAGAGGGUGCGAGCGUUAAUCGGAUUUACUGGGCGUAAAGCGUGCGUAGGCGGCUGAAUAAGUCGGAUGUGAAAUCCCCGAGCUUAACUUGGGAAUUGCAUACGAUACUGUUUAGCUAGAGUAUGGGAGAGGAUGGUAGAAUUCCAGGUGUAGCGGUGAAAUGCGUAGAGAUCUGGAGGAAUACCGAUGGCGAAGGCAGCCAUCUGGCCUAAUACUGACGCUGAGGUACGAAAGCAUGGGGAGCAAACAGGAUUAGAUACCCUGGUAGUCCAUGCCGUAAACGAUGUCUACUAGCCGUUGGGGGAUUUGAUCCUUUAGUGGCGCAGCUAACGCGA
rnacentral:rRNA from 1 species